AAAAUGUGUAGAACUAAGAAAACUCACGUAAUGUGCUGCUGCUUCAAGUGCGCAAUCAAAAUUCUCAUUUCGAUGUUUACUGGGUGCUUUUUGGUCCUUGUCGUUGCUGGAUUAAUACUCUUCUUGGUUUACGACUACGACUACGAAAGGGAGGACGAUGCCACCAUGCUCCAUAAUGAUGUUCAAGAUGGAAUGAAAAACACAUUAGAAAAUUUUAAAAAUAAAUUAAGACCAUAAUCUAUAAGUACCAUCUUUCAAUAGCAGUCUUGUUUAAGCUUGCUUGUUCCUGGUACAUUCAUACCACGCUAUGCUACUGCUAUUUGUAUGACAUUUUGUUAUAAUGUCCAUUUUUAAUUAAGGCACGUUUUCGAUUUACGGCCUAAAAUGUUUCCCGAUAACAGAAAAAAAAACUUUUUUUCGAUGUUGAUAUAUCUAUGAUGAAGAGUCAGAGUCUGUUGUAUCCAAACAGCUAACAUCAAAAACUUUUUCGAAAGUUUUUCCUAUUUCGAACAAGGAAUAAACGGAGCGCUAAAGUUUAUCGAGCAAUUAACUCAGGUAUUAGUUGUUAUAAAUAGAAAUAGACAAGAAAACAAGACAAGCUUUACGUUGCACAAUUUUUUAAGCCCAUCCUUACCGGCGAAAAAUGAUGACAAUGAUCUGCAGGUUAUCAUUUCUUCAUUUUGUUCGGAU